GUCUACAGCCAUGCCACCUUGAACAAGCCCGAUGUCUGAUCUUGGAAGCUAAGCAGGGUCGGGCCUGCUAGUACUUGAAUGGGAGACCACCUAGGAAGACCAGAUGCUAUAGGCA
rnacentral:rRNA from 1 species